rnacentral:rRNA from 1 species
AGUGAACGCUGGCGGCAGGCCUAACACAUGCAAGUCGAGCGGCAGCGGGUCCUUCGGGAUGCCGGCGAGCGGCGGACGGGUGAGGAAUGCAUCGGAAUCUGCCCUGUCGUGGGGGAUAACCUAGGGAAACUUAGGCUAAUACCGCAUACGACCCACGGGUGAAAGCGGGGGAUCGCAAGACCUCGCGCGAUAGGAUGAGCCGAUGUCCGAUUAGCUAGUUGGCGGGGUAAAGGCCCACCAAGGCGACGAUCGGUAGCUGGUCUGAGAGGAUGAUCAGCCACACUGGAACUGAGACACGGCCCAGACUCCUACGGGAGGCAGCAGUGGGGAAUAUUGGACAAUGGGCGCAAGCCUGAUCCAGCCAUGCCGCGUGGGUGAAGAAGGCCUUCGGGUUGUAAAGCCCUUUUGUCCGGGAAGAAAUCGUCUGGGCUAAUACCCCGGGCGGAUGACGGUACCGGAAGAAUAAGCACCGGCUAACUUCGUG